rnacentral:rRNA from 1 species
UACGUAGGAACCGAGCGUUGUCCGGAUUCAUUGGGCGUAAAGAGCUCGUAGGCGGCCACUCAAGUCGAAUGUGAAACCUCGAGGCUUAACCUCGAGCCUGCAUUCGAUACUGGGCGGCUAGAGUCUGGUAGGGGGAUCUGGAAUUCCUGGUGUAGCGGUGGAAUGCGCAGAUAUCAGGAGGAACACCGGUGGCGAAGGCGGCAUCCUGGACCGGCAUUGACGCUGAGGCGCGAAAGCCAGGGGAGCAAACGGG